GUGUUGUAUGAAAGGAGAGAAUGUUGGCACUCCCCUUGAUAAGGAUGGAAGAGACUCUCGGACCUAACAAUAUGCAUACGGUUAAGGCAUUGCCACCUACUUUGUGGCAUCUAACCACUCUUGGGC
ensembl:snRNA